GCUCUGUGUUGAGGAGAUGAGAGGACGGAAUGAGAGUGUGUUGAUGUGAUAUCGCCGAGGACCAUUUUACCGGACAGCCUGAUAAGUAUCGUGUUGUUAGAGUGCGAGCUGAUAAAGGGGUCGAAAAUGUAGAUAUUGCCAGAUGUAUGUUCACUGUCCGAGGAACAGGCCAUGGAAGCUUUAUUGCUGGCAAAACUGUCCAUAACCAGAGAUUCAGCAGCUGGGGGACCUGUUUUAUCAGGAGAAUAAUCUGGAAUCUGGAAACACUGACAAUGGGGUCAUUGUUCCUGACAUCCCAUGCCCCCUGUCUACUGAGAAUCUUGCUGUGCUGCAACUUUAUGUGAACCCUACCACUGACUCCUCAUCUUUUGGUCAGGAGUCUCCAGGCUUUUUAGGUGCAGUCCUCCCACACUAUGUAGAAUAUUGUUUUAGCCCCAGUGCCACUCUUGAUAAUGGCAAACAUUUGUAUUUUUUGGAGGAGGGUGAAAGGAUAGCCGGCCCAGCUGUCAAAUUGAGAUUGAAGGCUAUUCUGGAUAGAGAAGCCACUUUUGUGUAGUAUAUUUCUUUUGAGGUUUUCUGCCCUCAGAUACAGAGAGCUGUGAAAGCCUGUCUGCAGAUUAAGAUGUCCCAAUGAAGAGCAGGGUUUCUCAGUCCUGGUCCUGGGGAUUCAAAGGGGUGCACAUUUUUGUUUUUGCGUUAGCACUUACACAGCUGAUUCAAAUGAUCAAGUCAUCAUCAAGCUUCCAAGUGGUAUUUAUUAAUUAAAUUGUGACCCUAUCCUUGA